rnacentral:rRNA from 1 species
GUGAACGCUGGCGGUAGGCCUAACACCUGCAAGUCGAACGGCAGCACAGUAAGAGCUUGCUCUUACGGGUGGCGAGUGGCGGACGGGUGAGGAAUACAUCGGAAUCUACUUUUUCGUGGGGGAUAACGUAGGGAAACUUACGCUAAUACCGCAUACGACCUACGGGUGAAAGCAGGGGAUCUUCGGACCUUGCGCGAUUGAAUGAGCCGAUGUCGGAUUAGCUAGUUGGCGGGGUAAAGGCCCACCAAGGCGACGAUCCGUAGCUGGUCUGAGAGGAUGAUCAGCCACACCGGAACUGAGACACGGUCCAGACUCCUACGGGAGGCAGCAGUGGGGAAUAUUGGACAAUGGGCGCAAGCCUGAUCCAGCCAUACCGCGUGGGUGAAGAAGGCCUUCGGGUUGUAAAGCCCUUUUGUUGGGAAAGAAAAGCAGCAGGUUAAUACCCCGCUGUUCUGACGGUGCCCAAAGAAUAAGCACCGGCUAACUUCGUG